rnacentral:rRNA from 1 species
AUUGAACGCUGGCGGCAGGCCUAACACAUGCAAGUCGAGCGGAGCGGCGGACGGGUGAGUAAUGCCUAGGAAUCUGCCUGGUAGUGGGGGAUACCGUCCGGAAACGGGCGCUAAUCCCGCAUCCUAUCAGAUGAGCCUAGGGCGGAUGAGCUAUUUGGGUGGGUAAAGGCCUACAAAGGCGACGAUCCGUAACUGGUCUGAGAGGAUGAUCAGUCACACGGGAACUGAGACACGGUCCAGACUCCUACGGGAGGCAGCAGUGGGGAAUAUUGGACAAUGGGCGAAAGCCGGAUCCAGCCAUGCCGCGUGUGUGAAGAAGGUCUUCGGAUUGUAAAGCACUUGAAGUUGGGAGGCGUUACCAACAGAAUAAGCACCGGCUAACUUCGUGCCAGCAGCCGCGGUAAUUC